AGGCAUAUGGCUCAGUGGUAGAGCGCUUGCUUGGAAUGCAUGAAGUCCUGGACUUGAUUCUCACUAUUAUUA
rnacentral:tRNA from 1 species